rnacentral:misc_RNA from 1 species
AUGCGCUUUAUGACCUGGGCUACAAACGUGAUACAAUGGCUGUUACAAGGGGUAGCUGAAACGUAAGUUCUUGGCCAAUCCCCAAAAACAGUCUCAGUCCGGAUUGAAGUCUGCAACUCGACUUCAUGAAGUUGGAAUCGCUAGUAAUCGCGAAUCAUCAUGUCGCGGCGAAUACGUUCUCGGGGUUUGUACACACCGCCCGUCAAACCACGAAAGUUGGCAAUACCCCAAAAUGGUAGCCUAACUCGUUUAUUCGAGAGGGCGCUGUCUAAAGUAGGGUCCAUGAUUGGGGAUUAAGUCAUAACAAGUAUCCCUACCGGAAGGUGGGGAUGGAUCACCUCCUUUCUAAGAAACCAAUAAAAUCAAUCAUCUUCAGUUUUGAAAGACUUAGGAUAACUAAGUUUUUCUUCGUGACUUCACGAAGGGCCUAUAGCUCAGUUGGUUAGAGCACACGCCUGAUAAGCGUGAGGUCGGUGGUUCAAGUC